rnacentral:rRNA from 1 species
AUGGAUCCCACCACGUUCCCUAGCUACGGCAGCAGCGACGCCCCUAUGGCAAUCGCGGCGCCUGCUCGGGCGCCAGCGCAUGCCAGAUCUAGCAGCCAGGGGCUGACACAGUUCAAAAGGUUCUGGACUGUGGAGGAAGACACGCUGCUCAGGGCGAAGGUGCAGGAAUUCGGCGAAGGGAGUUGGAUGCAGGUCGCAUCGUACCUCCCCAGCCGGAGUGGGAAGCAGUGCCGGGAGAGAUGGGUCAACCAACUUGACCCCAACAUUGAGAGGAAAAUAUGGACCGACGCGGAAGACAUCAAGUUGAUCGAGCUGCAUCACACCUGUGAGAAAACAACGUUAAGAACCACUGGAAUGCCACUAAGCGCAGUCUGA